rnacentral:rRNA from 1 species
AUUGAACGCUGGCGGCAUGCUUUACACAUGCAAGUCGAACGGCAGCGCGGGCUUCGGCCUGGCGGCGAGUGGCGAACGGGUGAGUAAUGCAUCGGAACGUGCCCAGUAGUGGGGGAUAGCGCGGCGAAAGCCGGGUUAAUACCGCAUACGACCUGAGGGUGAAAGCGGGGGACCGAAAGACCUCGCGCUAUUGGAGCGGCCGAUGUCGGAUUAGCUAGUUGGUGGGGUAAAGGCUUACCAAGGCGACGAUCCGUAGCUGGUCUGAGAGGAUGACCAGCCACACUGGAACUGAGACACGGCCCAGACUCCUACGGGAGGCAGCAGUGGGGAAUAUUGGACAAUGGGGGCAACCCUGAUCCAGCCAUGCCGCGUGUGGGAAGAAGGCCUUCGGGUUGUAAAGCGCUUUUGUUCGGGAAGAAAUCCUGUGGGCUAAUACCCCGCGGGGAUGACGGUACCGGAAGAAUAAGCACCGGCUAACUACGUG